rnacentral:lncRNA from 1 species
UCCAAAACCUGGCGCAUCUCAGCCAGAGCUAUGAGAAAAACACAGAAGCGGAGGAAAACCAAGAGGACGGGUGUUCUCUUCCCACCUAUUUGAAGUUUAAAUCCGAAUCAGAGCAGCUGCAGAGCAGAAGAAACACGCUUCCGGAUCUUCUUCAGCCGCCGGCCCUCAAACUCACGCUGUCCGGAUCCGACACUCACCUGCACCGGGAUCCCUGCGCUUCGAGGUUCCCUUCCAUCUACAGGAGCAGUUCGUUGUUGCUGGCGCCUCCAGACGGGCAUCACGAGCUCCACGAGGCGAACAGAAAGAAGGCAAGAGAGCAGUCGAGAGCUCACGGCGGAUUCUUGCCUCCUCUUCCCGGUGUUUCUGUGAGGAACGUGUGCAGAGAUCCUUUCCCAGCCUCAGCUCCUGUCAGACGGGAAGCUCACGGUCCAUCGCGCCGUCACUCGGUUCAACUCGAGCAAAUAACAUCGAAGGAAAGCUCGGAGACGCUCCUGUUGUGAAAUGUCUUCUAAUAAAACCGAGACAAUUACACUAUACCAGUCAAAAGUUUUGGGACAGUAAGAUUUGUAAUGUUUUUAAAUAAGUCUCUUCUGCUCAACAAGCCUGCAUUUAUUUGAUCCAAAGUAGUUAAAAUAUUUUAUUUUAAAUGUAAUUUGUUCCUGUGUUUUCAAAGCAAGAUUUUUAGCAUCAUUACUCCAGUCACAUGAUCUUCAGAAAUCAUUCUAAUAUUCUGUUUGCUACUCAAGAACCAUUUAUUAUUAUGUCGAGUAGAAUUUUUUUCAGGUUUCUUGAAUAGAAGUUGAAUAGAAAAUGAUGAAUAGAAGUUCCGAAGAACAGCAUUUAUCUGAAAUAUAAAUAUUUUGGAACAUUAUAAAUGUCUUUAUCAUCACUUUUGAUCAAUUUACAGCAUCCUUACUAAACAAAAGUAUUAUUUUUACAGCUUUUGGUCAUAAAAAUAAAGCCACUUAAGAAAUGGGAUGAUUAAUUCACUUGAACCUAGUAAAACACUGUGUUAGGAAGAUAAAUAAAUAGGGCAAAUCUUGUUUUUAGACAACUAGUAAAAUACUAGUUUUAGGCAUUUAUCUGAAAUAUAAAUAUUUUGGAACAUUAUAAAUGUCUUUAUCAUCACUUUUGAUCAAUUUACAGCAUCCUUACUAAACAAAAGUAUUAUUUUUACAGCUUUUGGUCAUAAAAAUAAAGCCACUUAAGAAAUGGGAUGAUUAAUUCACUUGAACCUGUAAAACACUGUGUUAGGAAGAUAAAUAAAUGGGCAAAUCUUGUUUUUAGACAACUGUAAAAUACUGUUUUAGGAAUAAAAAUAUCUAAGAAGAAUAACUGAUUUAAUGCUGGUUGAUUAUUAUUACUUGUUUUAUUGCUGGUGGGAUGUUAUUAAUAAAAACAUUUUGCCCCUAAAACAGUUUUAUCAGAUCUUUGUGUUUAACUUCUCAGCUUUUGUUCAUAAAGCCAACAAACAACUUGGACAAUUACAGAACCUGAACCUGUAAAACAGCUGUAUUAAGAAGAAAAAUUAAUUAAAGAAUAUUAUUAUUUAAAUGAAUUUUUCUUAUUACUGGAUGGUUGUUGUUUAAAACAGGCAUUUUGCAGCUGAAAACAGUUUAAAUCCACCAAACAACCCAGACAAUUAAAUAACAAGAAACUGUAAAAUACUGUUUAAAGAAGAAAAAGAAAACAACUAGACUUAAAAGAAGAGAGAGAGAGGAAGGAAGGAAGGACGGAUAAGGGAGCAAGCGUUGUGUAUGGGGGUAAACUCCAGUUUACUAUGUUACUGAAACCUGAUUUGUUAACGUUUGUGUAGCUGCACAAACCAAUGGUGCUUUAGCCCGCCAGAAAGGGUGGAGCCAACAUGUAUAUAAGUCUGCUCGCAGCACCAUUUCAUCAGAAUCAUUAGACUGAAUAUAGUAGCACGGCAAGUGACACAACACUCGUUCUUUCAUCUCAGGGAACCGAGGUUACAUCAGCAAAAGGAACAUUCCCUUUUGAACGUUCAUUUCACGUUGUGUAUGGGGAACGAAUCCAAUCACGCCGUGCUAUGAGCAGAAGCACACAAAGCUGCUCUGCGAGCCCAGUUCUGGAGCACUUAUGCUAGAGUCCCAAGCGUAGCUGAGGACUUUGGAGAUAGCUAUUUCCACCAUAGGGAGAAAAAAGCAGUUUUAGCUAAUAAAAUCCGUGUCUGGGAGGCAGGGACAUCUAGGCUGUAGAAUCUGGUAAACGUGGAUGGCGACGACCAGCUGUUGGCAGCACAUAUCUCACCAAUAUCGAUUCUGCUGGACCAAGCCCAAGAAGAGGCCAUUCCUCUAGUGGAGUGGGCCCUCACACCUAUGAGGCAUUGCAAUCCUUCUGAGGCAUAAGCCAAGGCUAUAGCAUCAAUUAUCCAGCGGGAUAUUUUUUGCUUUGUAACCGGCAGCCCCUUAGAGUGGCCUCCAAAGCACUCCAAAGCAAAGCAACAGAUUGAAGCGUUCAAGAUAUAUUCUCAGAGCCCUGACGGGACAGAGAAUAUUGGGACCCUGCUCACCAUCUACAGUGGGGAGCGCCAGAAGGGUAAUUACCUGGGCUCUGAACAGAGCUGAGAGCACCUUUGGUACAUAUCCAUGUCUAGGUUUGAGGACAACUUCACAGUCGUUGGACCCAAACUCCAGACAGGAAGCACUGAUUGACAGUGAUUGUAAGUCACCCACUUCCUUGACCAAUGCUAGUGCCAGUAGUAGACCGGUUUACAAUGACAAAGGGCGUAGUUCGGCCGAAUGUAGUGGCUCGAAGGCAGGACCCUGUAGGGCCAUAAGGACUAUUGACAAGUCCCAGAUCGGUAUGGUCUGAGGAUGAGAAGGGUUCAAUCUCUACGGGCGACCUUCAAGAACUUAACGAUUAGAUCGUUUCUGCCGUUCUCUUCCCUCCAAGCAAAGUUGAAACUGCUUUAAACACAGCCAAAUCUAAACUGCCGCCCAAAAAGAUAAACAAUGUGGCAAUAGAAUGCAAAGACAAACAGAUAAAUUACAGCACUCCCAAUGAUGCAUUAAGACACAAAAGGACUUUAUCCAUCAUAUCCAUCAGAAAGUCAUGGAUUUUUAUUGUCAAUAGCAAAAUGGUGCUCCUAUAUUAAAUAAUCCACACA